GACAGAGGGUGCAAACGUUGUUCGGAAUUACUGGGCGUAAAGCGCGUGUAGGCGGCAAGGCAAGUCGGGUGUGAAAGCCCCGGGCUCAACCCGGGAAGUGCAUUCGAUACUGCCAAGCUAGAGUCCCGGAGAGGAUGGUGGAACUCUCGGUGUAGAGGUGAAAUUCGUAGAUAUCGAGAAGAACACCGGUGGCGAAGGCGGCCAUCUGGACGGUGACUGACGCUGAGACGCGAAAGCGUGGGGAGCAAACAGG
rnacentral:rRNA from 1 species